AGUGAACGCUGGCGGUAGGCCUAACACAUGCAAGUCGAACGGCAGCACAGUAAGAGCUUGCUCUUACGGGUGGCGAGUGGCGGACGGGUGAGGAAUACAUCGGAAUCUACUUUUUCGUGGGGGAUAACGUAGGGAAACUUACGCUAAUACCGCAUACGACCUACGGGUGAAAGCAGGGGAUCUUCGGACCUUGCGCGAUUGAAUGAGCCGAUGUCGGAUUAGCUAGUUGGCGGGGUAAAGGCCCACCAAGGCGACGAUCCGUAGCUGGUCUGAGAGGAUGAUCAGCCACAGGGGAAAGAGGACCAGCGCCAAACUCCGGAGGGAGGCAAGAGUGGGGAAUAUGGGAGAGGGGGCGGAAGCCUAUACCAGACAAACGGGGGGGGUGAAAAGGGCCUUCGGUUUGUAAGGCCCUUUUUUUGGGAAAAAAAAGAACCAGGUUAAAACCCCGGUUUUUUGACGGACCCCAAAAAAAAAGCCCCGCUAAAUUUGGG
rnacentral:rRNA from 1 species